rnacentral:tRNA from 1 species
AGCUCAACGGUUAGAGCAGGGGACUCAUAAUCCCUUGGUCGUAGGUUCAAAUCCUACACGGCCCACCA